GGCAAUUUUACGUGUAACUUUUCCUCUGCCACUUUACAGGGUUCCUGAAAGGGUAGAAGAAAAUACAGUAGGGCAGGGCUCAAGACCUUACAGUGGAAGAGUUAUGCUCUCCAUAAACAAUAUGACCUCCCAGGAGAGAAGAAAGAAUAGCAGGAAGGACAGAGAGGGAGAGAGACUGCCUCUCUUUGUUUUGAAGGUCCAUUUCUGAUAUAAAUGUAGACAGAAAGUAUAUUCCACUAGCUCUGAUGCCAGACCACCUGUGAAUUCCAUCUCUAGCUCUUUCAUAAAUUUGACCCUUUCUUAUCUUU